AGUGUACUCACACCACCCUGUUCCUCCCACUGAAUGCGGCUAAAAAACCUGGGCAGAAUAAGUGGAGCAUCUGAGGACUCUGAAAAGUAAAUAAUAGCAGGCAGAUUGGAGAUGAAGACCAAAAUGCAAACCUUUCAUUGGAGAACAGUCUUCCCCCACACCAUCCCAUAGAAAUACUGUUCACUAUAUCUGGUUCAGGAGGACUGACUCUCCCAACUCCUUUCUCCAGGAGUGGAUACAUGAUCCAGGACUGGCCAGAAUUCUACA
rnacentral:lncRNA from 1 species